GACAGAGGGUGCAAACGUUGUUCGGAAUUACUGGGCGUAAAGCGCGUGUAGGCGGCUAAGUAAGUCGGGCGUGAAAUCCCACGGCUCAACCGUGGAAGUGCACUCGAAACUGACAUAGCUAGAGUCCUGGAGAGGAAGGUGGAAUGCUUGGUGUAGAGGUGAAAUUCGUAGAUAUCAAGCGGAACACCGGUGGCGAAGGCG
rnacentral:rRNA from 1 species